rnacentral:misc_RNA from 1 species
UGGUGUUUGGUUUGUAACGGGUGGUUGGAUGUCUGCUUGCGCAGCAACUUCUACGCGUUCUUACCUCUUCAGUUGUGUUACAUGGCUCUUUUGCCUUGAACAUUUUGUGGGUUCCUGUGUUGCAUACCUAAUUAAUGGCAUUGUGUUGCUAGAACAAAGUUCUCUUUCGUAACGCGUUGCUUGCAGCGCUAACGAACAAUGAAGUGGUCUCUGUGGUCCAUCAUGUUGUUGCUAAGGCGUCGAUGUUAAGGCCCAUGGAGUAUUGCUUGGUCUCUUGGAUACGGAACCUCCUGUGGGCACAUGGUCAUUCAUGAUCAUGUCUUUUGUCCUAGAGCGUUUCGCUUCUCUGAACGACUGUCUAUCGUGCAAUGAAUUUUCGUUGCAGGUUAGGCUAUGUCAAAGAGGAAUGCUACCUGGU